ACGUAUUUACAUUAACUUCUGGGAUCGUACCUGGUCAAUUCCAGGGUUUGGGGUAUUCAACAAUAACUAAUUUAAACUAAUUGGUAUGAUUUUAGUGGACUGCCAAAAUAUACAAAUAUGUCCUAACCUUAUCUAGGUAAAUUAUAAUCAAACAGAGAAUCACUAUAUCAAUCAGAGGCAAGCAACGAUAAACUGGUAGUGCUAACUAACAAAAUGUAGAUCUAGAGCCCAGUCGCCCUCGGAUUACCCCAUAUACUGUAGGACGCCUUAUUCAGGACGGACAGUAUAUGUGGUAGCCCUUCAACCACUACACUCACUGUAGGAUGCCUUAUUCAGGACGGACAAUGAGUAUAGCGGCCUGGACGACGGUCUGUUCAGCCAAUGCGGACGACACCGAAGAAAACAAACUAUGGCUAGCCUCUUUACUGGAGGUCAACCUCUUCGUGGCAGGCCAGACUUCUGAUGGCCUUCCAAAUUCACUCUCUAACUGGUGUAAAGGUAGUCCCGAAGAUUUUACGAAGAAAACGCAUUUCCGGUUUUUGUUUUUGCCUUGUUAAUAAUUGAAAUAAAACCUUUUCUGUGUUUUAU